GUCCUUUAGAAUAUAAUUAAAGGUCUAACCUGCUCACUGAUAUUUUAAAGAGCUGCAGUAUUUUGACUGUACAAAGGUAGCAUAAUCAUUAGUUUUUUAAUUGAAAGCUUGUAUGAAUGGUUGGACGAGAUAAAAUCUGUCUUUUUUUAAUAAAUAGAAUUUAAUUUUUAAGUUAAAAAGCUUAAAUUUUUGUAAAAGACGAGAAGACCCUAUAGAUCUUUAUAUUAAUUUUAAUUAUUUUAAUUUAUAUAUUUAUUUUUAAUUAAAAUUAAUAUUUUAUUGGGGUAAUAAAAAGAUUUAAAUAAUUCUUUUUUUAUUUAAACAUAUAUUUAUGAAAAAUUGAUCCAGUAUUAUUGAUUAAAAGAUUAAGUUACCUUAGGGAUAACAGCGUAAUUUUUUUAGAGAGUUCAUAUCGAUAAAAAAGUUUGCGACCUCGAUGUUGGAUUAAAAUUUAUCUUAGGUGUAGAAGUUUAAGAUUUUAGUCUGUUCGACUAUUGAAAUUUU
rnacentral:rRNA from 1 species